AAACAUAACCUUUAGCCAAACAAAUAUUAAAGGCAACGCCUGCCCAGUGAACAAUUAAACGGCCGCGGUACCCUAACCGUGCAAAGGUAGCAUAAUCAUUUGUCUACUAAUUAUAGACCUGUAUGAAAGGCAAAAUGAGGGUCUAACUGUCUCUUAUAAUAAAUCAAUUAAACUGAUCUCCUAGUAAAAAAGCUAGAAUAAUAACAUAAGACCAGAAGACCCUGUGAAGCUUAAAUCAAACUAUUAAACCACAUAAUAACUACUUUCGGUUGGGGCGACCUUGGAAAAAAAAAGAACUUCCAAAUAACAUGACUUUAUAUCAUACUAUACAGGCUAACAAGCCAACAAUUGACCCAGCACAGCUGAUAAUUGAACCAAGUUACUCCAGGGAUAACAGCGCAAUCUUCUUCAAGAGUCCAUAUCAAAAAGAAGGUUUACGACCUCGAUGUUGGAUCAGGACAUCCUAAUGGUGCAGCCGCUAUUAAGGGUUCGUUUGUUCAACGAUUAACAGUCCUACGUGAU
rnacentral:rRNA from 1 species